rnacentral:lncRNA from 1 species
GGAGCUGGAGCUGGAGCUGCGAAUUCGGAGUCCCGGUUCCCUGUGCCACCUGGCGAGCUCAGCAAACUAAAAGGUAUGACGUGGAGCUGAGACAUAAUUGCACAUGCUUAGAAACAGAAUGGUUUCUCUUUUUUUUUUUUUUUUUGAGACGGAGUGUCGCUCUGUCGCCCAGGCUGGAGCGCAGUGGCGCCAUCUCGGCUGACUGCAAGCUCCGCCUCCCGGGUUCACGCCAUUCUCCUGCCUCAGCCUCCGGAGUAGCUGGGACUACAGGCGCCCGCCACCGUGCUCGGCUAAUUUUUUUUUUGUAUUUUUAGUAGAGACGGGGUUUCAUCAUGUUCUCCAGGAUGGUCUCGAUCUCCUGACCUCGUGAUCUGCCCGCCUCGGCCUCCCAAAGUGCUGGGAUUACAGGCGUGACCCGCCGCGCCCGGCCUCAGAAUGGUCUCUCGUCUUCUCUAGUUUUUCCGCC